UUCUAUGGCCCUCUUCUUCCUAAGCCUCUCUGCACUCUCCGGAAAAGAACGACAGCACAGCGACGAUUGAAUUUUCUUUCGUUUGACUAACAAUGGCGAAUAACGCUUUCCCUAAACAUUCAAUAGCCCCUGUUAUUAUAGCAGUAACAAUCAUUAACCCACUCUUUCCACUCCUUCGCAUUGAUUGCGAAGUACGGCCUUCUAUGGUAACGUCUCAAACCUAGGGCUAUAAAUACUGUCAGAUGCAGGGCAUAGCAAUCAUCUCUUUCAACAAAACCUUCCAUACUUGCGAUUUCAAGCUUUCCUUUCUCAGUGCCACCUCAUGUAUCCUUCUAACUAAUUUGAAAGUUGGUAGUUGCUCUAACAAAGUGGAUGCGUGACAUGCGUCUGCUCCGAUUCUGAGAAAUACGUCAUCUGAAGAAAGGAAGAGAGCUUAUGGGGUUGAAAUGCUCCGUCGACGAGAAGCAGGGAAAAGAUGAUGAGCCCAAAGACAAUAUGCCUGGAGCCAGCUAGCUUUCCUCAGCUUCUGCUAAGCUAGGCAACAACAAUGUGGAGAAGACACCGAGAGUUACAGAAUCUGCACUGGGGAACCUCCCUGAAGUGGAUGGCUUCAUAUCCGAGAAUCCAAAGCUCAAGACAAUUGAGCCUACUGCUAAGAAGGCCCGUACGGAACAGAUGAAUAUGGAAGCUUUUUUUUUAAGACGUUGCUGUCGAUUUGUUAAUGCUUUGGUGUUUUGCCAUUUUCAAACUCUUACGUAUGCUGGUUGAGUUCUUUGCACUAAUAAACAUAAGAAUGAUUAAUAAUCUGUAUUUGUGAAAACUGUUUUGGUUUUGCUCUCUUUAAAGUGGAGAACAAAACGUCUAGAACCAGAGUUACUCUGUUUCUCAUACGGCUGUUUUCCAAAUGAUAUAUGAGUUUUUAUUAUUA